rnacentral:misc_RNA from 1 species
GAAAUGCGAUAAGUAGUGUGAAUUGCAGAAUUCAGUGAAUCAUCGAAUCUUUGAACGCACAUUGCGCCCCUCGGUAUUCCGUGGGGCAUGUCUGUUCGAGCGUCAUCUACACCCUCAAGCUCUGCUUGGUGUUGGGCGUCUGUCCCGCCUCCUUCGCGCGCGGACUCGCCCCAAAUCCAUUGACGGCGGCCCUUGCCUCCCUCUCGCGCAGCACAUUGCGCUUCUCGAGGCGCGGCGGACCGCUUCCAGCAAGCAACCGUCACACCGUCUUUGACCUCGGAUCAGGUAGGGAUACCCGCUGAACUUAAGC